rnacentral:rRNA from 1 species
AUGUCCGAGAUCAACCCUCUCCAUCCCAUCUGGGUCAGGGAGGACCAGCAGGUGCUUGGCUACCUACUCAAUAACCUCUUCAAAGAGGUGCUCGUCACGGUGAUGCGGUCACCACGCGCACACCCUCUGGGUGGCGCUGGCAGGUAUGUUCUCUCGCAGUCUUUGAGCCGCGUCAACAACAUCCGCACUGCCAUGAUCAAUGCAUAG